rfam:Drosophila ananassae strain TSC#14024-0371.13 Ctg01_5951, whole genome shotgun sequence.
GGACGGCGGGAGUUGUAAUAACUUUUGCCAGGUAGCCCUUUGACUCGUCAUCAUAUUAGUGACGCGCAUGAUUCAAUUCAUGAGAUUCCUACUGUCCCUAUCUAAACUUU